rnacentral:tRNA from 1 species
GGAGGGGUGUCGGAGUGGCUACGAGCCCGGCUGCAGACCGGGUACACGUGGGUUCGAAUCCCACCCCCUCCUCCA